rnacentral:tRNA from 1 species
GGUGGAUGUAGCUCAGUAGGUUAGAGCACCAGAUUGUGGUUCUGGGGGUCGCCGGUUCGAGGCCGGUCUUCCACCC